CAGCAGCCUUCAGAAGAAAGCACAUGUGUACUAUAUUGGAUGGCAAACUCUUGACACUAUAGGACUGACUGAUGCAAUUAAUGGUGAGCAAACAUGGACAAGUUGCACAAAACAUGGUCAGCUCCUUAAGUCUCUCCUAAGAUGACCUUCAUGAGGUGAAGGACAUCUAAUUUGCAUGCAACUGCUCAUGACCCUGAGAAUUUCACCGCUGUGAGUAAAAUUAGUAACCAGGAUUUUUAGUAAAACCUCUCACUUCUUAAUAAAAUUCCUUUCCAGAACACGUCUUCUAAGCGCAUAAUGCUGCUUAAGUAAUCAGAUCAUUUUUUGCAUGGACUUAAAAGAGAGCAAAUAACUUAUUAAUUUUUUUUUUACUAUAUAUUGCUUCAGGAAAGAGUGUACAACAUGUUAGAAAACGUUCUGCACAUCACAAAGCCUUUUUCCUCAGAGGACCUGAAGUCAUUUGUAAUGAGAUAGCUCUGGGAGCUUUCAACUAAAUGGUGUCUUAAUGAAAUCAGCACAGGAGCUCAUUUACCGAAGGGAAAAGUCUACGUGAACUGCACGAUCGACCUCAGAGUAUCUAACCGCAGGCAGAACAGGAGAGGCAUCAACAUUUUACAGAUAUCAUUAUUCAUAUCAUUUUUAAUUCAUACUAUUGGAACCAAUUAAACCCCAAGUUAGAUUAGAACACAAAAAUGACAAACAAU